rnacentral:lncRNA from 1 species
UUUAGGGUUGACUUUUCACUUGAACCUCUUGGCUUCGGGCUCCUGUCAAUGGUUAGUUGGAAAACAUUUGGUCCAGCCAGAUGGAGACACGUAUUGACCUUUCAAUCACAUAGAAGAAAAUCCCAGCACGGCUAUUCGAUAGCUCAAGUGCAAGUGUAAGAAUAUCUACACACACACAUACACGCGCGCGCGCACGUGUGUGAACCGUUCAUACGACGCGAGAGAAAAAAUCAUUUACAAGUGCUCUCAAGAGACGAAUGGUGAGUUAAGCAGCGGACUCUUAUCUUCAACCCAUAAAUACACCGCUACUUCUACGUUACAACGAUCCCUCUAUCCCCAUUUCCCAUAAAGAUGUUGUCAACUGGCAGAGAAAUCUGUCGAGCUUUUAACAGAGGCAGAGAAAUCUGUCGAGCUUUUAACAGAGGCAGAGAAAUCUGUCGAGCUUUUAACAGAGUAUCUCUCCUUCCUCUCCAUCUUCAUCCAGAAACUCCUCAUCCACGUCUUCAAUGUCAUCUUUUAUAAACAAUCCCAACCGCUCAAGUGGGCUACCAAUGCAAGCUCCGAUUUCUCCCU